GCGCAGCAGGCGAGAAUAGUCUACAAUGGACGAAUGUCUGAUAGUGCGACGCCGUGUGUGCGAUUAAUUCCUUCGGGAUGUAAAGCACUUUUCUAUGAGAUAAAAGCUCUUUAGGUUAAUAGCUUAUUGAGACGGAUAUUAUUAUAGGAAUAAGCUCCGGCUAACUCCGUGCCAGCAGCCGCGGUAAUACGGAAGGAGCGAGCGUUUGUCCGGAUUUUACUAGGCGUAAAGGGCUAGUAGGCGACUAAUUAAGUUAUAUGUUAAAUCCCACGGCUCAACUGUGGUCCUGCAUGUAAUACUGGUUAGAUAGAGUACUGUAGAGGAAGGCAGAAUUCCUGGAGUAGCGGUGGAAUGCGCAGAUAUCAGGAAGAAUACCAAAAGCGAAGGCAGCCUUCUGGGCAGUUACUGACGCUGAAUAGCG
rnacentral:rRNA from 1 species